rnacentral:rRNA from 1 species
CCACAUUGGGACUGAGACACGGCCCAAACUCCUACGGGAGGCAGCAGUGGGGAAUCUUCCGCAAUGGACGAAAGUCUGACGGAGCAACGCCGCGUGAGUGAUGAAGGAUUUCGGUCUGUAAAGCUCUGUUGUUUAUGACGAACGUGCAGUGUGUGAACAAUGCAUUGCAAUGACGGUAGUAAACGAGGAAGCCACGGCUAACUACGUGCCAGCAGCCGCGGUAAUACGUAGGUGGCGAGCGUUAUCCGGAAUGAUUGGGCGUAAAGGGUGCGUAGGUGGCAGAUCAAGUCUGGAGUAAAAGGUAUGGGCUCAACCCGUACUGGCUCUGGAAACUGAUCAGCUAGAGAACAGAAGAGGACGGCGGAACUCCAUGUGUAGCGGUAAAAUGCGUAGAUAUAUGGAAGAACACCGGUGGCGAAGGCGGCCGUCUGGUCUGGAUUCUGACACUGAAGCACGAAAGCGUGGGGAGCAAAUAGGAUUAGAUACCCUAGUAGUCCACGCCGUAAACGAUGAGAACUAGGUGUUGGGGGAAUAACUCAGUGCCGCAGUUAACGCAGUAAGUUCUCCGCCUGGGGAGUAUGCACGCAAGUGUGAAACUCAAAGGAAUUGACGGGGGCCCGCACAAGCGGUGGAGUAUGUGGUUUAAUUCGAAGCAACGCGAAGAACCUUACCAGGCCUUGACAUCCCUUGCAGAGGUAUAGAGAUAUAUCCGAGGUUAUCAAGGAGACAGGUGGUGCAUGGUUGUCGUCAGCUCGUGUCGUGAGAUGUUGGGUUAAGUCCCGCAACGAGCGCAACCCUUGUGAUAUGUUACUAACAUUGAGUUGAGGACUCAUAUCAGACUGCCGGUGACAAACCGGAGGAAGGUGGGGAUGACGUCAAAUCAUCAUGCCCCUUAUGGCCUGGGCUACACACGUACUACAAUGGCGUCUACAAAGAGCGGCAAGCCUGUGAAGGCAAGCGAAUCUCAUAAAGGGCGUCUCAGUUCGGAUUGAAGUCUGCAACCCGACUUCAUGAAGCUGGAAUCGCUAGUAAUCGCGAAUCAGCAUGUCGCGGUGAAUACGUUCUCGGGCCUUGUACACACCGCCCGUCAAACCAUGGGAGUUGGUAAUGCCCGAAGCCGGUGGCAUAACCCUUCGGGGAGUGAGCCGUCGAAGGCAGGACCGAUGACUGGGGUUAAGUCGUAACAAGGUAUCCCUACGGGAACGUGGGGAUG